rnacentral:rRNA from 1 species
GCUAUACAUGCAGUCGAGCGGACCGACGGGAGCUUGCUCCCUUAGGUCAGCGGCGGACGGGUGAGUAACACGUGGGUAACCUGCCUGUAAGACUGGGAUAACUCCGGGAAACCGGGGCUAAUACCGGAUGCUUGAUUGAACCGCAUGGUUCAAUCAUAAAAGGUGGCUUUUAGCUACCACUUACAGAUGGACCCGCGGCGCAUUAGCUAGUUGGUGAGGUAACGGCUCACCAAGGCGACGAUGCGUAGCCGACCUGAGAGGGUGAUCGGCCACACUGGGACUGAAACACGGCCCAGACUCCUACGGGAGGCAGCAGUAGGGAAUCUUCCGCAAUGGACGAAAGUCUGACGGAACAACGCCGCGUGAGUGAUGAAGGUUUUCGGAUCGUAAAACUCUGUUGUUAGGGAAAAACAAGUACCGUUCGAAUAAGGCGGGACCUUGACGGUACCU